UCAUGACGUUUGAAUUAUUGAUGGACCGGCGUGUAUUGAUUGUGCGUUUGGAAACCUUGACGCGGAAACAAGAAUGGCGGCUUUGCAAACUUUGGUUUGCGUUAUAGCAGGAGUAAUCUUUCGACUGUGGCUUUACAGAUCGUUUCUUCCAGAAUGGCUUUCCACGAGAGCUGAAAUUGUGACUCCAACGACAUCAUGGGAGAGAGCGAUGGAAGGCCUGUCUUUGAAGCAGAGUUUCAUCUCUCCUUAUUCCGGAGACCUUUUUCACGAGACCCCUUUGAUGCUGAGGAUCUUGGGCUUUAUGAACAAGUUUUCACAAAAUAGUAUAAAUUUAAUGUUUGUGGGUCUUGAUUUGGUGUGUGCUAUUUUGCUGCUGAAAAUCUCAAAAAUGUUUGGAGGAUAUUUGCUGGUGCAUCAGGCCCGCAGUGUCAAGAACUACGCCACUGAUAUUGAUAGCCUGAUCCUGCGCAGUGAGGACCUACACUCUGUCCAAUUUUUGGUCACUAUAGCACACGCUUUCAAUCCAUACUGUAUAGCAGCCUGCCUCGCUAGGUCUACCGCCAUUUUCAACAACCUGGCUCUACUGUUUACUAUCUACUACUUGCUGAAGGGUAACAAAAUUAUGUGUGGAUGUUUUUUGGCGAUAGCCUCCUACCUCACCAUGUAUCCCAUCAUCCUCUUGGCUCCAGUGGCCAUUUUCUUUUACCAGCGCUCUUAUCCUACCUGUGUGUCCUACACUGACCCCCGUGCCCUGUCCAGCUACGUCCAGACUAGUGUGAUCACCCUGGUGUGGUUAGCAGCAUUCAUUGGAGCAUCUGCAUUCCUAGAGGAAUCUUGGGAUUUCCUUAACUCAACUUAUGGCUUUACGUUGACUGUGCCAGAUCUGACACCAAACCUGGGUGUUUUCUGGUAUUUCUUUACCGAGAUGUUCGAGCAUUUCCGAACUUUCUUCAUCUGUGUGUUUCAAAUCAAUGUCGUCAUCUACACCUUUCCACUCUCCAUCAAACUCCGAGAACACCCAGUUUUCCUGUUGUACCUGCUGAUAUUUCUUAUCGGUAUAUUUAAAUCAUACCCCAGUUUUGCUGAUGUGGGGCUAUUCCUGUGCUUACUACCCUUAUGGAAACAUGUAUUCUCAUACAUGCGUAAUACGUUUGUUGUGACGUGCAUGUUCGUGUGUACGACUGUGUUUGCGCCGAUUCUCCAUCACCUCUGGUUAUAUGCGGGCAGUGCCAAUGCAAACUUUUACUUUGCCAUAGCUUUGGCAUUCUCAACAGCUGAGAUAUUCCUAGUCACCGACCUUCUAUUUGCAUUCCUGCGACGGGAGUUUGACAUGCAUCAUGGGAAAAAGCACAUCAUGCCCGACGGUGCAGAGGGACAGGUCAUACUGGACUAAAGAGCAACACUUAUCGUCCAGUGCUAUCAUGUUUGUUUAAUAAACUUGGUGAUAGACUUGAGAAAGCUUGUGUGAUAAGGAUGAAGACAAUGAGCUGGAACUCUGAGUGAAAAUAAAUCCUAGAGUUACGUCCCUUGUAAGAAAUAUCUCUGCAACAUUCACUCAUCGCCUGUUGGGCCAGAGUUGUUUAUUUAUGAAAUAGGGACGAACCUUGUGGUCUGAUGUUCGCUUUACGAAAGCCUUGACAAAGAAUUACGAGGUCUUCGUCAACAUUUGCAUGUUUGCCAGGCUGAACUCCUGAAAAUGUUUCAUUUGAACAAAAAGGCCCACACAGUUCUGUCUUUUGAUCAGGUACUUGCAUUGAUGGUUUAAAAAAAACCUAGACCAGAAUUAUUUCAUUUAGAAAUAGUGACACACCUAUUGGUCUUUUGAUGUUUUCAGGUGAGCUUAAGAGAAGAGGAGUUUCAGAUGUUGCAGGCUUUACUUCUGAAAAAUGUAGCAUUCAAAUAUAAAAUAUAAACUUUAUUUAUUUAAAAACAUUAUGAAACAUUUUUUUGAACUUAUAUCAAUCAUUGUUGUCGGCCAGGAUGUUAGCGUGCAGGAAUCUGAAUGUGGGAGGAAUUCAGAGUUCCUGGAGAUAGCCCACAUGGUUGGGCAGAUGACCCCACACCUGUUCACGUGCAGUCGGGGAAUGAAACCCCGCUGCCUUGGUGAUCCUUCUGAAUAAUAAAAACAGA
rnacentral:misc_RNA from 1 species